UGAACGACUCUCGGCAACGGAUAUCUCGGCUCUCGCAUCGAUGAAGAACGUAGCGAAAUGCGAUACUUGGUGUGAAUUGCAGAAUCCCGUGAACCAUCGAGUCUUUGAACGCAAGUUGCGCCCGAGGCCUUCCGGCCGAGGGCACGCCUGCCUGGGCGUCACGC
rnacentral:rRNA from 1 species